GGCUCUGUGGCGCAAUGGAUAGCGCAUUGGACUUCUAAUUCAAAGGUUGUGGGUUUGAGUCCCACCAGAGUCA
rnacentral:tRNA from 1 species